UACAGAGGGUGCGAGCGUUAAUCGGAAUUACUGGGUGUAAAGCGCGUGUAGGCGGGAGGCCAAGUCUGUGGUGAAAUCGCUCGGCUUAACUGGGCGGGGUCCAUGGAAACUGGUCACCUGGAGGUCGGUAGAGGCAAGUGGAAUUCCCGGUGUAGUGGUGAAAUGCGUAGAGAUCGGGAGGAACACCAGUGGCGAAGGCGGCUUGCUGGGCCGGACCUGACGCUGAGACGCGAAGGCGUGGGGAGCGAACAGG
rnacentral:rRNA from 1 species